CCAGGAGGUACGGGGUAAAGAGAGAUUUGCUUUAAUAACGAGCAGGUGCUUAGAAUUAAUGCAGGGAAGGAAAAGCCUGUGAAGGGACCUGAGCGAGCCCGAAUCCAGGUCAAGCCUGAGGAGACGUCCAGCCAUGUACCACACAGGUUGUUGUUCUCAUGAAUCUGGUCACAGCAGCAAGAAAAACUACUGUCCCUCCUGUGUCUUCUCAGCCACCAGGGCAGCUACAGCCACCCUGCUAAGAGUGUUUCUUCAGUGCAUCAAAGGCUGCAGGAGCAAGCUCCCUGCUCACUCAGAAUGAACAGUCUUCAUCCUCUUGCCCCUUCCCUCUCCCUGCCUCACCUCUCCCUUGAGUUCACUCAGCUCCAGCCAAAUGGCCUCCUCCUUCCACAGGGCCAAGCUCACCUUCCCUCCCAGCAUUCCUCUGCUCAGAGCACCCCCUCCCAUGGCUCCCCAGUUCCCCUCUCCAGGCCCUGACUGGGUUGUCACCUUCUCAUCAAGGUCUUCCCCAGAUACCCUAUUUAAAGGCACAGACUCCCCCGCCCCGCACACUCCCGCCCUCGGUCCCUGCAUUGCUAUCCUCCAGUGCUCUCAUUGCCUCUAACUUACUGCAUAUUUUACUCAUUUGUCUUGUUUAUCGCCUGUCUCUCCCCCAUAAAGUAAAGCUGUGGGAGAGUGGGGAGUGUGUCAGUUUUGUUCACUGCUGCAUCCGUUAUCAGAUCCAGCACGCAUGUGGAGAAAGCCUGGCUUUUGUGAGGGUUUCUCUGUAUAGUCUUGGAUGGCCUGGAACUCACUCUGUUCAGGCUGGCUUUGAACUCACAGAGAUGUGCCUGCUUCUGCCUCCAGAGUGCUGGGAUUAAAGGUGUGCACCACUACAGCAGAUCACACACACAAGCAUGUAUAUAGACAGAGACAGAGAUCAGUUACAUUUUUGUAUAUGUGGGGAUCGUAGAGGUCAGCCUUGGGUGUCGUUCUUCAAGAGCUAUCUAGAUAUCUACCUUGUUUUUUGAGACAGAGUCUUUCACUGGCCUGAGGUCAUGGCUUGUGACUAGGCUCUGGCCAGAGAACUCCCAGGGAUCCUCCAGUCUCUACCUCCCCAAUGCUGGGAUUACAGGUAUGCAUACCACCAAGACCAGCCUUUUUAGUGUCAUGUGGGGACUGAGUUCAAGUCCUCCUGUUUAUAUAAUAAAAGGCAUGAUCCAUUUAAGCAUGGACGUUAGAAGGGAGUUAGGUGGGGGGAGGCUUAGGGGAGAGAUAGCACACCACAAUCAAAACAUGGUACAGGCUUUCCUAGAAAGAACAACCCAGCGAUGUCGAACUCUCAGCUCCUCCUGCACCAUGCCCGCCUGGAUAGCUCCAUGCUUCCCACCUUGAUGAUGAUGGACUGAACCUCUGAAAUGGUAAGCCAGCCCCAAUUAAAUGUUGUCUCUUAUAAGAGUUGCCUUGGUCAUGGUGUCUCUUCACAGCAAUGGAGACCCCAACUAAGGCAGAUGUGGAUAAUCUUAUAAGCACUAAA
rnacentral:lncRNA from 1 species